GACGAACGCUGGCGGCGCGCCUAACACAUGCAAGUCGAACGAGCGAGAGAGAGCUUGCUUUCUCGAGCGAGUGGCGAACGGGUGAGUAACGCGUGAGGAACCUGCCUCAAAGAGGGGGACAACAGUUGGAAACGACUGCUAAUACCGCAUAAGCCCACGACCCGGCAUCGGGUAGAGGGAAAAGGAGCAAUCCGCUUUGAGAUGGCCUCGCGUCCGAUUAGCUAGUUGGUGAGGUAACGGCCCACCAAGGCGACGAUCGGUAGCCGGACUGGGAGGUUGAACGGCCACAUUGGGACUGAGACACGGCCCAGACUCCUACGGGAGGCAGCAGUGGGGAAUAUUGCACAAUGGGGGAAACCCUGAUGCAGCGACGCCGCGUGGAGGAAGAAGGUCUUCGGAUUGUAAACUCCUGUUGUUGAGGAAGAUAAUGACGGUACUCAACAAGGAAGUGACGGCUAACUACGUG
rnacentral:rRNA from 1 species